rnacentral:snRNA from 1 species
AUACCUUCUCGGCCUCAUGGCUAAGAUCAAGUGUAGUAUCUGUUCUAAUCAGUGUGAAAACUGAUUUCUGACUAAUAAGUUAGAUUUAUUUUCACAUUUAUUUUUAAAAUGGCUUUGAGUCAUUUGUAGCUUGCUACGAAUAACCAAAGCAGGUUUCCAAGGGCUUACACAAUUUCCCUUGUGAAGCCAAUCAAAU